rnacentral:rRNA from 1 species
UACGUAGGGGGCUAGCGUUGUCCGGAUUUACUGGGCGUAAAGAGCGCGCAGGCGGUCGUUUAAGUCGAAUGUGAAAGCCCCCGGCUCAACUGGGGAGGGUCAUUCGAUACUGAUCGACUUGAAGGCAGGAGAGGGAAGUGGAAUUCCGGGUGUAGUGGUGAAAUGCGUAGAUAUCCGGAGGAACACCAGUGGCGAAGGCGGCGUUCUGGACUGCAACUGACACUGAAAAACGAAAGCCAGGGGAGCAAACGGG